rnacentral:rRNA from 1 species
GGGGAGGUUUGGCACCUCGAUGUCGGCUCAUCACAUCCUGGGGCUGUAGUAGGUCCCAAGGGUUGGGCUGUUCGCCCAUUAAAGUGGUACGCGAGCUGGGUUCAGAACGUCGUGAGACAGUUCGGUCCCUAUCCGUCGCAGGCGUAGGAAAUUUGAGAAGACCUGUCCUUAGUACGAGAGGACCGGGAUGGACGUACCUCUGGUGUACCAGUUGUCCUGCCAAGGGCAUGGCUGGGUAGCUAUGUACGGAAUGGAUAAGCGCUGAAAGCAUCUAAGCGCGAAGCCAACUUCAAGAUAAGAUUUCCCACCGCAAGGGUAAGACCCCAGAAAGACUAUCUGGUUGAUAGGUCGAAGGUGUAAGUGCAGCAAUGUAUUUAGCUUAUCGAUACUAAUAGGUCGAGGACUUGACCAAU